CAACUCGCCUGCAUGAAGUUGGAAUUGCUAGUAAUCGCGAAUCAGAAUGUCGCGGUGAAUACGUUCCCGGGCCUUGUACACACCGCCCGUCACACCAUGAGAGUCGAUAACACCCGAAGCCUGUGAGCUUAACCUUUAGGAGGCAGCAGUCGAAGGUGGGGUUGAUGAUUGGGGUGAAGUCGUAACAAGGUACC
rnacentral:rRNA from 1 species